ACCCUGAAUAACCCCCUCUGCAGACAUAACCAGUGCUAAGGUAGGGCCUGCUGGAGCCAGGUACCAACGAAAGGAGGAAAGGCUGGCCCAAAGAUGCUUGGCAAAGGAAGUUCUGGAGAGAGUCGGCUCGAGAGCCUGAGAACCAUUUAUUCAACCUUUGCUUGAGGGUCAGGUUUUCUCAUUUCUGAGCUCAGCACUUGGUGUACCUGUUCAUUGUAUCUUCCUAGUCAUACCCCAUCCCCCAAGCCCAACUCUAUCUCCUAGAAUCCCAAACUUGGAGGGAGGAGGCCAACCGGCUGCAAAUCCUUCUCCAGGAGGAGUCCCCAGAGGCUGAAGAACAAUGUCCUGGUGGUGUUGGUGUGGCGCCUGGACAGUUGUGAAUCAAACUGAGAAACUGAGACCAGGAAGAUCCUGAGCCACACAACAUUGGAGGUGUCUCCGGCCAUUUGCAAUGGGUACAAAGUCAACGAAGUCACAUGUGGAGGAUGAAGCAGAAAAUCCACUUAGAACCAGGCGGCCUGGGAGACACGGGUUUACGAGGACUGUUGGAUUUCGAAUAAUUCACCUGUCAGCUUUGUGGAUUCUUGCCCCAGAUUUGCUCCUUUGCUUCUCUGGCUCAGUGGUUCCUACUCUGUCAACAAGGUGAGGACAAAAAAAAAAAAAAAAAAAAAAAUUGGAUGGCUGAAAAUAUUGCCUUCCCUUCCAAAGGAGUCCACCUGAAAUUAGACGCAGUUAGAACAGCAUUACAUUUUAAAAACACAGCUUGC
rnacentral:lncRNA from 1 species